GUCAGGUAUGCGUUUAGAAAGUUUCAGGUGCUGCAUUUUCCCAGAUGGGUUUUCGUUGCUUGGGCUCUGUUUGAGUUUGAAUUACCUAAUGGGCCACUUUUGGAAAUUCAUUUCAACUUCUUCAGGUCUUUGUGUAAUUUUGCUUUUUUCUUUUUUUACUUUUUUUUUUUUACAAAUACCUUCAAUUUAAAAAUAAAUUAUUUCAGGCAUAUUGGAUUAAACCUAAGAUUUCUAGGACAUUUUGGAUUUAGUGCGAAACAGAUGGGUCAGCU
rnacentral:misc_RNA from 1 species